CAAUUGGUACUUGGUAGAGAAAUUGCAAUGGUAGUCAUGUGCCAUGUCCCGCCUUAAAUUUCUCAAAAAUUUCAAAUACAACCCCUCAUACACCAAAAGCCCAGCAUUAAUUUCCCUUAGGUUAGGAGAGAGAAAGAAAGUUUCAAUAAGAAAAAGAAAAGGGGAGAGAGGGAGAUAUAGAGAGAGUAUGAUAUUUCGGUGCUUCCAUCUCAAAUCUCAAACAUGUAUCUCUGUCUAUGCAAGCUCAUCUCCUGCAAAAUGUAAGGAUGUCAUUCUUUUUCAGCCAUUAUGCAAGUAUGAAGCUUCAACGAUGACUCUCGCAACUUGAACUAUGUUUUGUUGUGUGUCUAAUCUAGUUUCACAAUUCAUCAAAUUACUGCCCCCAAUUCGAGGGAUAGAUAGAAGGAGUGAGCGAAAAUGAGCGGUUGCAAAGAGGAGAUAGGCAACUCGAAUCCCUUCCGAAAAAUUUGAAGGUGAAUGAUGAACCAACUGGAGGAGAUCAAACGUAGACGUCUCACUAUACAUACUAUCGGCCCGAUUUAGCUAGCUAUAUAUAUUAUAGUGACGCCGUACUUGGUGGUUAGAAGGAAAAUGAUUUAUAUGUACUUAUUAGAAGUAUUUGUGGUACUAAAACAAAUAUUUAUUAGUCAG